GAUGAACGCUGGCGGCGUGCUUAACACAUGCAAGUCGAACGGAAAGGCCCAAGCUUGCUUGGGUCCUCGAGUGGCGAACGGGUGAGUAACACGUGGGUGAUCUGCCCUGCACUUCGGGAUAAGCCUGGGAAACUGGGUCUAAUACCGGAUAGGACCACUACUUGGAUGUUGUGGUGGAAAGUUUUUUCGGUGUGGGAUGAGCGCGCGGCCUAUCAGCUUGUUGGGGGGGUAAUGGCCUACCAAGGCGUCGACGGGUAGCCGGCCUGAGAGGGUGUACGGCGGCAGUGGGGCUGAGAGAAGGCACAGGCGCGUACGGGAGGCAGCAGUGGGGAAUAUUGCACAAGGGGCGCAAGCCUGAUGCAGCGGGGCCGCGUGGGGGAUGACGGCCUUCGGGUUGUAAACUCCUUUCGCUAGGGAAGAAGCGUUUUGUGACGGUACCUGGAGAAGAAGCACCGGCUAACUACGUG
rnacentral:rRNA from 1 species